UAACCCAAAGGAAAUGUUAUGGGGUGA
rnacentral:piRNA from 1 species